AGAAGCCGUACUAGUCAUCCCUUAACGAAACCACGCCCAUUGAUAUCGUCCGCGAAAUCCUCUCUUUUAUUUAUGAUUUUAUUGGUGUCCCACUUUGAACUUUGGAGCCAAAACCGGUCAUAGCAUGAAUAUUUUAUUUAUAAUUUUAUCUGAAUUGGUGACACUUUGAGCUUUGGAGCACAAAAACCGGUCAGAUCCUUCCCUAUUUCAUAUCAACCGGUCCCAUCUCUCUCUCACUUCUCUCACAGCUUCUCUCUCUCUCUGACACACACACCCAAGUUCCCAUGCACUAUCCACUCCCUCACGUCACUCACACAUCACCAUCAUUUUUGUUUCUGAAAACCGGUUCUCUCUUCUCUCUCUCUCUCUUUCUCCCUCUUUUUGUUCGAACUCUCUGCCUUCUUUCUAAACCACCAUAGCCAAAGAGAGCUCCAGGCACCAUCACCACAAAUUCCAAUUAAAUCGAGACCCCAAACCACCAAAUACAAGACCUGCGCAACUUGGGGAUCCCUAUGGUACCUUUGCAUGUUAAAUUCUGUGAUGGAAAGUAGAAGAGUUGCUCUAAUGGAAUCGAACUACAACCUUUGAAAAUUGAGCUUCUGGCGUGGAGCUCCGGCGAGGGACCCGUCGAACUUGGCCCAUGAGCUCGAGUUAGUCCCGUUAGAAACUCAGGUAGCUUAACCCAUGCUCUGCAUGUUAAUUUCAAGUUUAAAUUCGAGUUUGUGAUUUUGGGUUUCUGUUUGGAAUUUCUUCCCAGGAAACCGUUUCACUCCGCCUAGACAGCCG
rnacentral:lncRNA from 1 species